GAGGGGAUAACUCAGCGGUAGAGUGUGUGCUCAGCAUGCACAAGAUCCUGGGUUCAAUCCUCAGUGCCUCUG
rnacentral:tRNA from 1 species